AUUGUUCCUGUUCAAGUUGUUUCGCCGGAGUGAACAUUGCUGCACUCAUAGCUGACAUUCCCGGACAAGAAGCAAUUCAUUAGUCAGCAGGAAUACAUCAGGUCUUGGAUACGACAGAAGCUGCGAUCAUCAUACAUCAAGGAUACACAGUGAGCUGGACGAGUGUUCGGAUAUGCUUGAGGACGAGGCUCAGGGACGCGAGGCCUUCGAUUGCCAGUACUACUCUCUCGUGUCUGCCGGUCGUGCCUUGAUCCAGAGUCUUUCACUUCCUUCGCGGGACACUUCGGUUCCGCAGAAAACAAAGUGGAUGCUGUCGCAAGAGACGCUGAAGGAGGGUGCAUUGGUUGUGAUAAA